rnacentral:rRNA from 1 species
AUUGAACGCUGGCGGCAGGCCUAACACAUGCAAGUCGAGCGGAUGAAGGGAGCUUGCUCCUGGCUUCAGCGGCGGACGGGUGAGUAAUGCCUAGGAAUCUGCCUGGUCGUGGGGGAUAACGUCCGGAAACGGGCGCUAAUACCGCAUACGUCCUGAGGUAGAAAGUGGGGGAUCUUCGGACCUCACGCUAUCAGAUGAGCCUAGGCCGGAUUAGCUAGUUGGUGGGGUAAAGGCCUACCAAGGCGACGAUCCGUAACUGGUCUGAGAGGAUGAUCAGUCACACUGGAACUGAGACACGGUCCAGACUCCUACGGGAGGCAGCAGUGGGGAAUAUUGGACAAUGGGCGAAAGCCUGAUCCAGCCAUGCCGCGUGUGUGAAGAAGGUCUUCGGAUUGUAAAGCACUUUAAGUUGGGAGGAAGAGCAGUAAGUUAAUACCUUGCUGUUUUGACGGUACCAACAGAAUAAGCACCGGCUAACUUCGUG